rnacentral:misc_RNA from 1 species
AACGCACCUUGCGCCCCUUGGUAUUCCGAGGAGCAUGCCUGUUUGAGUGUCAUUAAAUUCUCAAACUCACAUUUAUUUGUGAUGUUUGGAUUGUUGGGGGUUGCUGGCUGUAACAAGUCGGCUCCUCUUAAAUGCAUUAGCAGGACUUCUCAUUGCCUCUGCGCAUGAUGUGAUAAUUAUCACUCAUCAAUAGCACGCAUGAAUAGAGUCCAGCUCUCUAAUCGUCCGCAAGGACAAUUUGACAAUUUGACCUCAAAUCAGGUAGGACUACCCGCUGAACUUAA